rnacentral:rRNA from 1 species
AGUUUGAUUAUGGCUCAGAACGAACGCUGGCGGCGCGUCUUAAGCAUGCAAGUCGAACGGCAAGAGGUAGCAAUACCUCCUAGAGUGGCGGACUGGUGAGUAACACGUGGGUGACAUACCCUUCAGAUGGGGAUAGCUAUUAGAAAUAGUAGAUAAUACCGAAUACGAGCACAGGGGUUAGAGAUCUGUGAGGAAAGGAGCUAAGGCUCCGCUGAAGGAAUGGCCUGCGGCCCAUUAGCUAGUUGGUGAGGUAAGAGCCCACCAAGGCGAUGAUGGGUAGCCGGCCUGAGAGGGUGGACGGCCACAUUGGAACUGAGACACGGUCCAGACUCCUACGGGAGGCAGCAGCUAAGAAUCUUCCGCAAUGGGCGAAAGCCUGACGGAGCCGACGCCGCGUGAACGAAGAAGGCCGUGAGGUUGUAAAGUUCUUUUCGGGAGGGGAACAACCGUGGCAGGGAAUGGCCGCGGGAUGACGUGAAUCCCGGAAUAAGCCCCGGCUAACUACGUGCCAGCAGCCGC